rnacentral:rRNA from 1 species
UACGUAGGUGGCAAGCGUUGUCCGGAUUUACUGGGCGUAAAGGGAGCGUAGGCGGAUAUUUAAGUCAGAUGUGAAAUACCCGAGCUUAACUUGGGUGCUGCAUUUGAAACUGGAUAUCUGGAGUGCAGGAGAGGAAAGUGGAAUUCCUAGUGUAGCGGUGGAAUGCGUAGAUAUCGGGAGGAACACCAGUGGCGAAGGCGGUUACCUGGAGCUUUGCUGACGCUGAUGCGCGAAAGCGUGGGGAGCGAUCCGG